rnacentral:tRNA from 1 species
GGUGGCUCAGUGGUAGAGUGCUUGCCUUGCAUGCAUGAGGCCCUGGGUUCAAUUCUCUGCACCA